CCUACGGGUGGCAGCAGUCGAGAAUCAUUCACAAUGGGGGAAACCCUGAUGGUGCGACGCCGCGUGGGGGAAUGAAGGUCUUCGGAUUGUAAACCCCUGUCAUGUGGGAGCAAAUUAAAAAGAUAGUACCACAAGGGGAAGAGACGGCUAACUCUGUGCCAGCAGCCGCGGUAAUACAGAGGUCUCAAGCGUUAUUCGGAAUCACUGGGCGUAAAGCGUGCGUAGGCUGUUUCGUAAGUCGUGUGUGAAAGGCGGGGGCUCAACCCGCGGACGGCACAUGAUACUGCGAGACUUGAGUAAUGGAGGGGGAAGCGGAAUUCGCGGUGUAGCAGUGAAAUGCUUAGAUAUCGAGAGGAACACUCGUGGCGAAGGCAGGUUCCUGGACAUUAACUGACGCUGAGGCACGAAGGCCAGGGGAGCGAAAGGGAUUAGAUACCCGGGUAGUC
rnacentral:rRNA from 1 species